rnacentral:lncRNA from 1 species
GUCUACUAUAAGUAAUAUACGAUCAGUUCGAAAAUUAGUGCUUGAGUGAGAUUAGGAUUUAAAGCAAUGGAUGAUGGAACAGAAAAUUGUGCAGAUAUUGAACAGAAGAAGAACAUUGAUCAUGAGCGCACACAAACGACUCCAUCUGAAACAGAAAAUACAAAGCAUCUAACAAAAGACAAAGAUGCAACGGAAAAAGAAUGUUUAUUAAACCUUCAA